CUUUUUAUAUUCAGUUUGUAAUUUUGUGCACCGAUGCUGCGUCUGGCGCAUGGCUGUACCCUAGAUCUUAUGUCUAAGGCUUCUCUCCGUCUUUCCGGUGAAUGUAUUUUAAGACCAAUCAGAGGCGGUUGCUGGGCAGACCAGAAAGGACCGGCCAAUCAGCGUUAUUCUGCCAAUGUUAGCUGACGUAUGUCGUUAUUAACCUCGACGUAUCUCGUCAUUGGCCACGACCUUCUGUGGGAGGAGCGCAGAGAGGCGGAGAAAGGAAGUCGGAAAACACAUUUAAGCCAAGUUUGAAUCGUUGCUUCUGUUUGCUCGUACUGUGAGAAAACACGAGCAGGUCUGGAUACUGAAACAAACUCUGGAGCUGCUUUUUUGUUGCUCUGGUGUGAGACUGGACGCUGAACUCACCUGCGGCUUGAAGGUGUCACCACUUCAUCCACGACAUCGUCUGCGAUCGCCAAGAUGUCAUGCAUGAUUGCAGAGACGUGGUCCAUGAUUGGAGACAUUGUCCAUGCUUCUUAGAGAACUUGUGCAAGAAUCGGUGGAGACUGGGGUCACUGAUUCGAUGGUAUCGCCUGUGCUCAUGGAGACAUUGUCUGAUCACGGAGACACCGUUUAUGAUCUCAGAGACAUCAUCCAUGAUCACAAAGACAUUGUCAGUGCUCGCAGAGACAUUGUCCAUAAUCUCAGAGACAAUGUCCACGAUCACAGAGACAUUGUCCACGAUCGCAGAGAAUCGUCAUACAGUGAAGAAGUUCUUUGAGACCAGGACUGAGGCCUCCAGGGGUCACCACUUUGUCCAUGACAUCAUCCACGGUCACAGAGACAUGAUCAGAGAGACAUUGUUGAGGAUGAGGGAGACAUUGUCGACGACUCUGUCCCCGAUUUGACAGCAUUGUCUGCAAUCAGUGAGACAUUUAGUUGAUCACAGAGACUUUCUCCAUAAUCUCAGAGACAUUGUCUGCGAUCACAGAGACAUUGUCCAUGAUCACAGGGACCUUGUCCAUGAUCACAGAGAGUCUUUGUGCAAUGAAGAAGUUCUUGGAGACCAGGACAGAGGCCUCCAGAUAAUUCACAACAGCUUUACAUCUACUGUCCAAUACAGAGCACUGACAUUAAAUUCUAUAUCUUCAGUAAUUUUGAAUAUUGAAUAUUGAAUAUUGAAUAUUUGUCAUAAAAAAGACUUCUCUCAUUAUUAAAGUUUAUUUACAUAGUUCAUGAAUGUACAGUUCAAAGAAAAUGAAGAAUUUAAUCUCUCUCGCCCUCCCCCUCCCUCUCUCUCCCUCUGUCGCUCUCCCUCUCACUCUUCGUCUCUCUCCCUCGCUCUCUUUAUCUUUCUAAUUCUUAUGCUUUUGCUCUGUCUGCCUCCCUCUCUCUCCCUGUCUCUUUGUCUUGUUCUCUCUUCCUUUCUCUCUCACUCUUCAUGCUUUUUGUCUCCCCCUUUUUCUUGCACACUUUCUCUCCUUUUCUCUUUGUCUCUCUAUGUCUCCCUUUCCCUCUCUAUCUCCCUUUGUCUCUCCCUUUCUCAUUAGUAUAGUAAAUCAUAAAAAUAUGAAGAACUCAUUCAGUUCAGUGUCACACUAGAAACUAAUUUUGCUUCAUUUUGGCUUAUAUCAACCAAGUUUAGUUCAAAUUUUAACUGACUUUGGAGAAACAAACAUUUCCAUCCACUGCUGUUGUGUGAGUAUCAGGAGCUGGUGGAGUCAGUUCUCCAGUAAUAGCAGCAGCUUCUGUCUUUCUGUAGAAAGCAAAUUUAACUCCUGGACUAGUUCUGAAUGGUCCACGACCACUUAGUCCACGCUCUGGUGUCUUUGUUUUUGACGCCUUACUAUACUAUGACAUUUACUGACUGUUUUUGACACUUGUUUGUUUUUACAUUUUUCAAUGUCUUACUAUACUAUGGCAUCAUUUGACACCUUACAUUAAGUAGUAAGCAGUUUUGAUGGUUUUUGAUGCCUUACUAUACUCUGAAAUUUUUUGACUGUUUUUGAUGCCUUACUACACUAGGAUAUUUUUAAAACUAUUUUUGAUGUCUUAUGACAUUUAUUGACAGUUUUGAUGGCUUAUUAUGCUGUGACAUUUUCUGACCAGUUUUCUCACUUUACUAUACUAUGACAUUUUUUGUCCGUUUUUGAUGUCCUACUGUACUACGAUGUUUAUUGACAGUUUUUGAUAGCUUACUAUACUGUGACAAUUUUUGAGCAGUUUUCAUGCCUUACUAUACUGUCAUUUUUUGGCCAGUUUUCACACCUUACUAUACUAUGUCACUUUUUUGACAGUUUUUGACGGCUUACUGUACUAUGACAUUUUUUGGCCAUUUUUGACCAUUUUUGACGCCAUACUGUACUAUGACAUUUUUGGGCCAUUUUUGAUGCCUUACUAUACUAUGACAUUUUUUGGCCAUUCUUGACCAUUUUUAACCAUUUUUGAUGCCUUACUAUACUAUGACAUUUUUUGGCCAUUUUUGACCAUUUUUGAUGCCUUACUAUACUAUGAUAUUUUUUGGCCAUUUCUGACCCCUUACUAUGUUAUGACAUUUUUUGACCAGUUUUCACGCCUUACUACACAAUGUCAUUUUUUUUUUACCUUUUCUGACACCUUACUAUACCAUGACAAUUUUGACUGUUUUUGAUGUCUUAGUAUAGAUACCAUUACAUUUUUUGACAGUUUUAGGCGGCAUACUAUACUAUGACAUGUGGCUGAUGAAAAAGGAACUAUCUCGGAGCAGUAAAAGUCUUUUGUUUUCCACAGACACACACAUAUUCACACUUUCACAAUCUUACAGUGUUUGUCAACCAUCUUAAAUCAAUGUGUUUUCCGUUUCAUUUUGGUAUUUUUCUUUUUCAAUCAGUGCAAUAUCAGUACUCAGAUCCAAUCUAAUAUUGUGUAUAUAGUGCUGUUUAUACUGUUCAUAUUGUUUAUACCUUUUUCCUAUUGUUAGAAUUUAUUUUGUUUUAUAUCUUGUCAUCUUACUCUCACUCAAAUAAAUACUUCUUAACACUGAA